GCAAAACUUGAUCCUGAAAGACAAUGGAUUGAUCUAUGAUCUCGAAACUGCAUGAGCACUGCAUGUUUUCAGUCCAAAUGUCAUGGUAUUUACAACUUACCCAUAAGUCUUGAUUCAUUAACACAGGAAGUUGUUGAUGCCUAUAGGCCUUAUGGCAAAACCCUUCUAGAAAACUUUUCCUUAAUUUUAAUACACAUAAUCAUGUACAGUAAAAGUUCAAGUGUGGGGCAUCCUAACUUAUAAGACUAUAGCUUAUGGGGCAAGUUAAAUGCUUACAUGAACCCAAUAUCAUACUGUUAUCCAAAGCUUCUGAGGCAGCCAUCUUGAAAUGAAUGUUGCCUCAACACGACCAAGUUUUUCACCCACAUCAGUUCCCUAUAAUAGUUUCUCAUUUGAGAGACUAUUGUGGACAUACAAUGGCACAAAACACCCCUCAUUGUAAUAAUAGACUUGCCAAGUCCAGGUCAAUACUAGUUUGAGGUAAAUUAAAUUCUGCCAACAGGUCAAACACACAAAUACACACACACUCCGGUAGUUUACAUACUGUGUAACCAUUGUACACAAGCUGCUACACAUAGUCCCUGGAAAGGAAUAACUGCUAAAACAGGAGACGAAUAGCUGCUAAAACCAUAGAAAUACUAGAAUACGGUCCACCCAUCAUGACACCUUUGAAUGGGGAUUCCCGUUCUAGUAGUUAUAUUUCUAUGCCUAAAACACAGUUCAAUUGCGCACCCCGAGGUGUUUUCUACCCGACGACCAAGGUAUCCACAUUAUGAAUGUGAUUUCUUGAGAUACCUGUAUAUCUUCUCAUUCAAUUUUUAUUAUUUUUUUGUUACUUAUAACACAAGAGAGCAAAACACGAUGAAGGGAGAAAAUGUGCAAAACUAUAUUAUCUGAUUAUGUGACCCUCUUUUAAUUAAAUGAAGAUACUUGCAAUCUUACAGUACACGGUUUCAGUCGAAAUCACACUCACCGGCUGUAGUUCUUUUAAUACAUUAUAGUUUUGAAUGCUUAAACUGAAGUUGACAUGCUGUAGAAUGUAUAUAAUGUUAUGUUAAUAAUCUGUAAGUGAUAUUUUGCACACCCUGGCAAGCAGUGUGAGUGACAUCAUGGCUAAUGCUAACAACAAUUAGCCCUUUUGACUUAAAGGGAUAUGUCACUCAAAUCACAAAAUUACAUUGUUUUUCUUACCCUUCAAGCAGUCUUUGGACAAGGAGAGACAGCAAUGACGGACAGCUAUUUCUUUACAUGGUACUAAAAUAAAAAUGUAAUUUUGUUAUUUGGGUGGACUAUCCCUUUAAAUGUUACAGAUUCAGUACAAGGUCAUGUUCAAUAGGGCACAAUGUAGCAAAACAUUUUGAAACGGAAUGCAAAGAUGACUCAUUGGACACGCUCAGCCUCAGGUAGUAGGCUACUUCAUCGGUUUCAAAACGUUUUGUAACAUUUUGUGCCUACUGAACAGGAUCCUGGUAAGGAUUAUUGGAUGUUUCACCAAGUGGGUUGUUUCAAAGGAGAGAAACCCAUUCUAAACAACAUGAAAUACAGUUUGAAAUUGCACACUAAAUCCAAAGCUCCAGUACACAUACCAUUGGAAACAGAAACAUUAGCAGAAACAUUUAUGGUCGAUUAAAUCCUUAUUGAAGGCUUUACCAGAAUAUGUGAAGUAUAUAAAACUUGCAGUACAUAACAUGGUGCCUUUCUUAGCAAUAUACUGUCCAUUUCAACAUGUAUAUUUGCACCCAACGUGUGGGUUGUUGGCCUUUUGUGCUGAAAUGGUCUCACAUACUUGAUUUUUGUUUCGUCCCUUGUAAAAAAUGAAUAUCUGAUUUGGGCAUUAUUUAUCCACAGAUAGACCAUGUAUUACCAAAGGAAAACUGGCCUUUAGAAAUGUCAUCAUUGUGUCUCAUACGAUCAUUAUCCUAAUUUAUUUAAAUGAUGUGCACAUACCUAUACCAUAGUAAUAAUUUCAGUUAGCUCCAUCAAGCCUGUAAUGUCAUGAAAAAUGCUAAAGAAACUUCUAUUCUCCUAC
rnacentral:lncRNA from 1 species